GCAUAUCAAUAAGCGGAGGAAAAGAAAAUAACAAUGAUUCCCCUAGUAACUGCGAGUGAAGAGGGACAAGCUCAAAUUUUAAAUCCAUCGGGUUUUACCUGAUCGAGUUGUAAUUUGAAGAAGCGUUUUCUGCGUAUUUGGUCAGCCUAAGUCCUAUUGAAUGAGGCAUCAUGGAGGGUGAUAAUCCCGUCCGGUUGAUCAUUUGCGUUUUACGAUACGCUUUCUAAGAGUCAAGUUGUUUGGGAUUGCAGCUUAAAAUGGGAGGUAAAUUUCUCCUAAGGCUAAAUAACGGCGAGAGACCGAUAGCGAACAAGUACCGUGAGGGAAAGAUGAAAAGAACUUUGAAAAGAGAGUUAAACAGUACGUGAAAUUGUUGAAAGGGAAACGAUUGAAGCCAGUCGUACCUUCGGGUAAUCAGCCUUUCGGGUGCGAUUAUGUGGAGUGUGAGGAGCUUAAACACCUUCAUGUUUUGCAUAUUCGUACUCUUGGGUGUACUCGCCCGUAUGGUUGGUUAACAUCAAUUUUGGUGGUCAUAAAAUGACUGGAGGAAUGUAGCUUCGAUCUCGUAUUGAAGUGUUAUAGCCUUCGGUAGAUGUGAUGAUCGAGAUUGAGGAUUGCAACGGAUACCCUUUGGGGCUACCUGUCUGAUCUCUGAUCGUUGCUUUGGUGCCGAAAGCUUGCUUACGGUUAUCAAAGUCGAUGGUCAAUAGGUUAGAACGGGUUAAAUUCGUUAAGGAUGUUGACGUAAUGGCUUUAAACGAC
rnacentral:rRNA from 1 species